CGCGGGAUUGGGCACGGGGGGACGGGGCGCAGCAGGCGCGAAAACUUUACAAUGCGGGAAACCGUGAUAAGGGAACCCCGAGUGCCCGUAUACGCGGGCUGUCCGGGUGUGUAAAAAGCACCCGAAGAAAGGGCCGGGCAAGACCGGUGCCAGCCGCCGCGGUAAUACCGGCGGCUCGAGUGGUGACCACUUUUAUUGGGCUUAAAGCGUCCGUAGCUGGAUUGCUAAGUCUCUUGGGAAAUCUCACGGCUUAACCGUGAGGCGUCUAAGAGAUACUGGCAAUCUUGGGACCGGAAGAGGUGAGAGGUACUCCGGGGGUAGGAGUGAAAUCCUGUAAUCCUCGGGGGACCACCUGUGGCGAAGGCGUCUCACCAGGACGGCUCCGACAGUGAGGGACGAAAGCUGGGGGAGCAAACCGGAUUAGAUACCCGGGUAGUCCCAGCCGUAAACGAUGCGCGUUAGGUGUAUCGGCGACCACGAGUCGCUGAGGUGCCGAAGGGAAACCGUGAAACGUGCCGCCUGGGAAGUACGGUCGCAAGGCUGAAACUAAAAGAAUUGGCGGGGGAGCACCACAACGGGUGGAGCCUGCGUUUAAUUGGACUCAACGCCGGGAAGCUCACCGGGUAGGACAGCGGUAUGAUAGCCCGGGCUGAAGACUCUGCUUGACCAGCUGAGAGGAGGUGCAUGGCCGUCGUCAGUUCGUACUGUGAAGCAUCCUGUUAAGUCAGGCAACGAGCGAGACCCGUGCCCACUGUUACCAGCAUGUCCUCCGGGACGAUGGGUACACUGUGGGGACCGCUGAUGUCAAAUCAGAGGAAGGUGCGGGCUACGGUAGGUCAGUAUGCCCCGAAUCUCCCGGGCUACACGCGGGCUACAAUGGUCGGGACAAUGGGUCCCUUCCCCGAAAGGGGUUGGUAAUCUCACAAACCCGUCCUUAGUUCGGAUCGAGGGCUGUAACUCGCCCUCGUGAAGCUGGAAUCCGUAGUAAUCGCGUUUCAAUAUAGCGCGGUGAAUACGUCCCUGCUCCUUGCCCGAAUUCGCCGAAUCACUAGU
rnacentral:rRNA from 1 species